CCUCUGUCGUAACACUUGAAAUAGAGUUGAACACUGUGGAGAGCACUGGAUAAUUUUGAGCAGGCUUAAUAGGAUUAAAACUAGAUGUGUCCUAACAUUAGAGGAUUAAGACAGCCCCCGAGGAGGAUAUACUUGUCAAAGGGAAGCAGUCCAUCAAGAGUCAAGUUUUAGGAAACCAGAACUCAGAAAGCGAGAUUCUCUUGGAAGGUGAUGACGAUAUCAUGUCAUUCAUGGAGGAAAGAGAAGUGGAGAACUUGACAGGUCCAGUGUCCCUCAGCACACCAGCUCAGCUUGUGGCACCGUCCGUGGUAGUGAAAGGCACCCUCUCCAUCACUGUUUCUGAGCUCUACUUUGAGGUGGAUGAAGAAGAUCCUAGUUUUAAGAAAAUCGACCCAAAGGUAAGAGAUCAUUGACCCUGAGGUCUGAGAGAUGA